rnacentral:rRNA from 1 species
UACGUAGGGUGCAAGCGUUGUCCGGAAUUAUUGGGCGGAAAGAGCUUGUAGGCGGUUUGUCGCGUCUGCUGUGAAAUUUCGGGGCUCAACCCCGAACUUGCAGUGGGUACGGGCAGACUAGAGUGUGGUAGGGGAGACUGGAAUUCCUGGUGUAGCGGUGAAAUGCGCAGAUAUCAGGAGGAACACCGAUGGCGAAGGCAGGUCUCUGGGCCACUACUGACGCUGAGAAGCGAAAGCAUGGGGAGCGAACAGG